CAGGGAUCUUAAGUCGAUUGUUUCAAAAAUACAAAAGAAAAUAAUAGAGAUUAUAAGAAAGUCAGAAAGAAAUAAAGAGAUUGCAAUAAAAAUAUCUUUUAUUGAUUAAAUAAAGAAGUAUACAAUGAAAAAAAAAUAAAAGAUCGAUAUAAAGACAACAAAAUCAAGUUGAUCUUCUCGCUGCGUCCGAUGGUGGAUGUGCCUUUUUGAAUCCUUCAUCUUUCUCCAUG
rnacentral:lncRNA from 1 species